GCGGUUCGCUGUCCCCGGCCUCCCAGCUUUGUCCUUACACCCGCGCGAAGGAGCUGGAAGCAUGGACCCAGCAGGGCUGCGCAGCGUCCAGCGCGCGCCGGGGCGCAAGGGCCUGAGCGCGCCGAGGCAGCGCGCUCGGAGUGGGCAGGGGACGAGGGAAAGUUGAAAAGGGCCUUCUCGAGCGUGACAAGCGGAAAGACGUCCCCUGGAAAGCCAGUCUCAGCUUCCCUCGCCCCCCUUCCCGGUCCCGCAAGGAAGCGGGAGCCUCCAGAGGGAGCGCGUCCCAUUGCUCCCGGCACCCAAAGGUCCUCUCUUGGUCACGCGCCUCCCUCUCCUCCAGAGGACUCAGAACCCUUUAUCAACAUUCUUUCUGUUUUGCAAGUCGAUAACUUUUGGUGCCCAAAGAACAGAGGUAAUUUUUUUUUUUAGGUUUCUAGGCUUCCCUUUAAACUACACUUCACUCUGUCCUCUCUCUGGGCCCCAUAUGCCCUCCAGGGCUUAUCUGGAAACGAAGCUACAGCCGCUAAAGAAACCGACGCUGUAUCUUCUCUGACAACCCCAAAUUAAAUUAGGCUUCAGCCUCUGCGCA